AUUGAACGCUGGCGGCAUGCCUUACACAUGCAAGUCGAACGGCAGCGCGGGAGCAAUCCUGGCGGCGAGUGGCGAACGGGUGAGUAAAGCAUCGGAACGUGCCCUGGAGUGGGGGAUAACGUAGCGAAAGUUACGCUAAUACCGCAUAUUCUGUGAGCAGUAAAGCAGGGGAUCGCAAGACCUUGCGCUUUAGGAGCGGCCGAUGUCGGAUUAGCUAGUUGGUGAGGUAAAGGCUCACCAAGGCGACGAUCCGUAGCGGGUCUGAGAGGAUGAUCCGCCACACUGUGACUGAGACACGGCCCAGACUCCUACGGGAGGCAGCAGUGGGGAAGUUUGGACACUGGGCGCAAGCCUGAUCCAGCCAUGCCGCGUGAGUGAGGAAGGCCUUCGGGUUGUAAAGCUCUUUCGGUGGGAAAGAAAUUGCUUAGGCUAAUAUCCUGAGUGGAUGACGGUACCCGCAUAAGAAGCACCGGCUAACUACGUGCCAGCAGCCGCCGUAA
rnacentral:rRNA from 1 species